AUCAACUAAAUAGUCAAUUUGGGAGGGGCUGCGAUUUGCAUAGGAGUCCUCCGUUAUGUUGAGACAUAACAUCGAGUUAACAGCUCGAUCAGACAGUAUGUCGCUCCAUCGCAUUCCUGCUCUCUAUGGAUGUUCACAAGCUUUCAGACCUGCAAGACAAACAGGUUUUUUGUUUAUAUUUUUUAUGUUCCACAACUUCAGGCGAUCACAGUUCACAUCGUAGUCUCUGUAUGUUUCUAGAAAGCCUCUAACCUAUGCCCACUCACUGCCAUGACCUGCCUUGCCUUAAGUACCGCAUCAGACAGUUUCUGUAUGGCAGUGGCCCUCAGGCUGGUUGGUGUAAGCCGUGCAUGUCCCUGCCUCUUUGCACAACCUGGCUAACUUCUGUGACAGCUGGUAUACUCCCAGGGGACUGGCGGUAUACGAGACGCUGUCUGUCACCACUGUUACGCUCCUGGGCUGCAGAUAGAGGGCCUUUGCACCAUAUAGGUAUAUAGGUAGUAGGUCCCCCAAUGUAAAGCUAAAUGUGCCAAUAGCCGAGCUCCUGGUAGUAGCAGCGCACACAGCCCCACCCACACCACUGACCGUGGAUCAGUGGGGGAAACGCGGUGAAAGGACGCAAACAUGGUUCUCUCCAGUUAGGAGAGCUUAAAUGGGCGGUUAUGGCAGCUAUGAGGGCUGCACUCCAAAGUGCAGUUCCACACCAUUAAUGGUCUCCACAUCAGUGGUGCCCACAGGCACUUCCAGCUUUGCCAGCAGUCACAUAUCACUGAGAUCAAUGGGCAUAUCCUAAUUUCUAAAGAGGGCAUAGAAUGCUUGCUGCUGCUAGCGUCAACAAUCUCUGAGGUAACUUCGCUCCUGUGGAUAUCUAGACCCACAUUAUACAAACUCAUGUGGGAAUACAACAUAAGGUACACAAAAUUUUGGCACAUUUCUGAUUGUUUGAAGAAUUGGACACAACCACAAGUGACAUAAAAGCAGAACAUCCUCAUGUAGGAGAAGUUAUGCUUAAUGGGCAUUUACGUGCCAGAAACAUUGUGGUGCAGAGUGUAAAAAUGGUUGAUGGUGCUGGUGUGGAGUCCAGGAGAACAGCAACAAUACAAAGACGCUGUGGCUUUUCCAAACUAAAUAUGGCACGUAGAUGGCAAUCACAAACUGAUUAGAUGAAAAUAACUUGUAUGUUGCGCAAUGGAUGGUUACAGAAGAAUGUUAACGUUUCUCCAGUGUUCCAACAACAACUGGACUGAAACUGUUAUGGACCUCUUCAGUACAGCCAUCAGUGAACUCCCCUUCAUAUCAGAACUGAUCAUGGAGGGAACAAUGUCUGUAUUUGGGAAGACAUGAGAGCGCACAGAGGUGACAAUUCUGUGGUGACUGGAAGUUCUGUACACAAUCAACAAAUUGAACGAUUCAUUCAGAACUCUGGGACUUGAACAGAAACUGCCGCGAUGUGUUUGCACCCAUUUUCUACGAGCUAGAGUCAAUGGAGGCUUUGGACGUAGACAAUGAAUCAGAUUUAUUUUCUCUUCAUUAUGUGUACAUUCCCAGGAUCAAUCGCACAUCGGAUGAGUUUAAAGCUGCAUUUAACAAUCUCCUCUGAAGUAAACUGAACCCCAGUUCAGCUUUUCACACUAGACAGACAUCUUCCUUACUUAAUUAUCCAGAAACUGCAACUGAUGACAGAACAGUGGACUCGGUAUCAGCACCUCAUGCACAUAACUCAGUGGAAUGAUAUGACAUACACAGCAAUAUCCUCUAUAAUCCAAUGACAUUGUGAAGAGAAUGCAGCAUUUGGCCUAUACAUGGUGUUGCAGGAUUGUGGUCAGGAACACAGGAAACCUUGGAAACAGCUGUAGAGCCUGAUGUGUGUGUUGGCUGCUUUGCUCCUGUCGAUCUUCUUCAACUAACUUCGACGAUUAAUUCAUCUAAGCCAUCAACCUGUCUCUUAGACCCCAUUCCAACUAGGCUGCUUAGAGACGUUUUGCCCGGAUCAAGCCAAUCCGAACAACUUCUCGCUCUUGCUAGCCUAUCUCUCUCUUUUAAAGCCCUUUCCAGCCUCGUAGACCUGGAGACCAUCCAUUCCAUUUUCUUCCUAUUAUAUCCAUCUGAGCUAGUUGACAUCAACCAAAACAAUUUCAUCCUGUUGGUCUGGCUGAGAGGCAUCUAUAGACAUGUCAUACAUGACUCUGGGCAUUGUGCAUUUGUCUCCCUGUAUAGCAUGGAGCGUUUCAGUCAUAUAUGAAUAUUGAUCAAUAUUCAUUGUGUUUACUAUAUUUCAGUGUUUUUGGGACAUUUAUGUUAUUUGUAACAUGGCUAUAUGGAAAUAAAUGGUGUUUUGAAGUAAAAGUCCCAGUAAACAGUAAACAUGGCCAAAACAUGGAGACCGCCUGACUAUAUCUUUAUAAAUUGUAUCAUAAAUGUUGUAUUUCAGUGUAUUCAUUGCAUUUACAGUUACAUUUGUAGUCAAACAGUA